rnacentral:rRNA from 1 species
AGAUUAAGUUAUUAAGGGCGCACGGUGGAUGCCUUGGCACUAGAAGCCGAUGAAGGACGUUACUAACGACGAUAUGCUUUGGGGAGCUGUAAGUAAGCUUUGAUCCAGAGAUUUCCGAAUGGAGAAACCCAGCAUGAGAUAUGUCAUGUUAUCGAUAUGUGAAUACAUAGCAUAUCAGAAGGCACACCCGGAGAACUGAAACAUCUUAGUACCCGGAGGAAGAGAAAGAAAAUUCGAUUCCCUUAGUAGCGGCGAGCGAAACGGGAAGAGCCCAAACCAACAAGCUUGCUUGUUGGGGUUGUAGGACACUCUAUACGGAGUUACAAAGGACGACAUUAGACGAAUCAUCUGGAAAGAUGAAUCAAAGAAGGUAACAACCCUGUAGUCGAAAAUGUCGUUCCCUCUUGAGUGGAUCCUGAGUACGACGGAACACGUGAAAUUCCGUCGGAAGCUGG